rnacentral:rRNA from 1 species
UUGGAGGGCAAGUCUGGUGCCAGCAGCCGCGGUAAUUCCAGCUCCAAUAGCGUAUAUUAAAGUUGUUGCAGUUAAAAAGCUCGUAGUUGAAUUUCGGGAUCAGCAAGUUGGUCGUGCCUCUGGUACGUACUGGCUUUACUGGUUCCUCCUUCUUGAAGAACUGUAAUGUCAUUAAUUUGGUGUUGCAGGGAAACAGGACUGUCACUUUGAAAAAAUUAGAGUGUUUAAAGCAAGCUAACGCUUGAAUACAUUAGCAUGGAAUAAUGAAAUAGGACGUUUGAUCCUAUUUUGUUGGUUUCUAGGAUUGACGUAAUGAUUAAUAGGGAUAGUUGGGGGCAUUAGUAUUCAAUUGUCAGAGGUGAAAUUCUUGGAUUUAUUGAAGACUAACUACUGCGAAAGCAUUUGCCAAGGAUGUUUUCAUUAAUCAAGAACGAAAGUUAGGGGAUCGAAGACGAUCAGAUACCGUCGUAGUCUUAACCAUAAACUAUGCCGACUAGGGAUCGGAUGAUGUUAAUUUUUUAAUGACUCAUUCGGCGCCUUACGGGAAAC